rnacentral:lncRNA from 1 species
AACAUGCUCUGAUACCAUUUGUUGACGAAAACUCCAAGAAUCGUGGAUCUGGGCUUAGUUUACUCACCAAACAAACAUCAAUCGAGCUCGACUUGACCCACAGCAAAACCACAUUUCACUUGCCACAUGCUUUCUCACCCAGAAAGGAUGAUGGUUGUGGGGAUUGCAGCCACUAAGGAAGAUGAAAAACAAAAAGAAACUAUGGUAAUCACUCAACCAUGAAAUCUUGC